ensembl:lncRNA
CUUUUUUUCUUUUAAUCUUUGUUGACAAUAUUUCUAAAGAGAACAAAGUCAUAGGAAAAAGUAAAACAAUUUUAAUAGAUAGGGUAUAAGCUAAACUGCUGUAACAAAGGAAGAACCAAAUGUAGACUUGAACUAGUACUUGGAAGAGAUGAGAGAAGGUUGCAAGGAGGUGAGAAGUAUAUGAAUCAGUUCCUGGGGUGUCCUGAAGCUCUGAAGAAAAUGACUUGAAACAAUUCCAGCUCUCACUUUUUUCCUUCAAUCAAUUCCCAGCUGGGCUGUGACAGAAGGCAGAUGAUAAGAAAAGGAAGGAGAGCAAUAAAGCGCAGCCGCUUUACAAGAGAAGAAAAAGUUUCCCAGAGGGAAGUAAAGAAGGAAAGCCCCCCCAAAAAACCUAGGCACAGAGCUUGCUUGAAGGAGAAAGAUUACCAUGAAAUCUUUAAAUGUUCUAAACACCAUCAGUAACAGCUGUAAAGGAGUGGGAACAGGUAUAAUAGGGAUUAGUGGAAAGAGCUUCACUGUAGCCAUGUAC